rnacentral:rRNA from 1 species
AGAGUUUGAUCCUAGCUCAGGGUGAACGCUAGCGGUGCGCCUAACACAUGCAAGUCGAGCGGUAGACUUUCUUAGCUUGCUAAGAAAGUUGAGAGCGGCGAACGGGUGAGUAACACGUUGGUAUCUGCCCCCAAGUCAGGGAUAGCCAUUGGAAACGAUGAUUAAUACCGGAUAGUCUCUUCGGAGUAAAAAUUUAUUGCUUGGGGAGGAGCCUUUAUUCUAUCAGCUAGUUGGCGAGGUAAUAGCUCACCAAGGCUUUGACGGAUAACUGGUCUGAGAGGAUGAUCAGUCACAAUGGAACUGAGACACGGUCCAUACUCCUACGGGAGGCAGCAGUGAGGAAUCUUCCACAAUGGACGAAAGUCUGAUGGAGCGACACCGCGUGAAGGAUGAAGGCCUAACGGUUGUAAACUUCUUUUCUGAAGGAGCAUAAUGAGAGUACUUCAGGAAUAAGGGACGGCUAAAUACGUGCCAGCAGCCGCGGUAAUACGUAUGUCCCAAGCGUUACCCGGAAUCACUGGGUGUAAAGGGUUCGUAGGUGGCUUAAAAAGUUGGAUAUUAAAGACCGGAGCUCAACUCCGUGUUUGUGUUCAAAACUCUUAAGCUAGAAUCAGGGAGAGGUAAGCGGAAUUCUAAGUGUAGGGGUGCAAUCCGUAGAUACUUAGAGGAACACCAAAAGCGAAGGCAGCUUACUGGAACUGUAUUGACACUGAGGAACGAAAGCGUGGGUAGCGAAAAGGAUUAGAUACCCUUGUAGUCCACGCCCUAAACGAUGAUAACUAAGUGUUGCAAUUUAUUGCAGUGCUGUAGCUAACGCGUUAAGUUAUCCACCUGAGGAGUACGGUCGCAAGAUUAAAACUCAAAGGAAUAGACGGGGACCCACACAAGCAGUGGAUCACGUGGUUUAAUUCGAUAGUAAACGAGGAACCUUACCCAGACUUGACAUCUACCGAAUCUUUUAGAGAUGAGAGAGUGCCUUUAUUGGAGCGGUAAGACAGGUGCUGCAUGGUUGUCGUCAGCUCGUGCCUUGAGGUGUUCGGUUAAGUCCGUUAACGAGCGCAACCCAUGUCGUUAGUUAUUAUGUCUAACGAGACUGCCUUGGUUAACAAGGAGGAAGGUGUGGAUGACGUCAAAUCAGCAUGGCUUUUACGUCUGGGGCUACACACAUGAUACAAUGGUAUGUACAAAGAGCAGCGAUAUAGUGAUAUGGAGCUAAUCUUAAAAGCAUAUCUCAGUCCGGAUUGAAGUCUGAAACUCGACUUCAUGAAGUUGGAAUUGCUAGUAAUCGUGAAUCAGAUAUGUCACGGUGAAUGUGUUCCUGGGUCUUGUACUCACCGCCCGUC